rnacentral:rRNA from 1 species
GAUGAACGCUGGCGGCGUGCCUAAUACAUGCAAGUCGAGCGAAUGGAUUAAGAGCUUGCUCUUAUGAAGUUAGCGGCGGACGGGUGAGUAACACGUGGGUAACCUGCCCAUAAGACUGGGGUAACUCCGGGAAACCGGGGCUAAUACCGGAUAACAUUUUGAACCGCAUGGUUCGAAAUUGAAAGGCGGCUUCGGCUGUCACUUAUGGAUGGACCCGCGUCGCAUUGGCUAGUUGGUGAGGUAACGGCUCACCAAGGCAACGAUGCGUAGCCGACGUGAGAGGGUGAUCGGCCACACGGGGACUGAGACACGGCGCAGACUCCUACGGGAGGCAGCAGUAGGGAAUCUGCCGCAAUGGACGAAAGUCUGACGGAGCAACGCCGCGUGAGUGAUGAAGGCUUUCGGGUCGUAAAACUCUGUUGUUAGGGAAGAACAAGUGCUAGUUGAAUAAGCUGACACCUUGACGGUACCUAACCAGAAAGCCACGGCUAACUACGUGCCAGCCGCCGCCGUAA